GUGCCGGUACUUCUACCCGUGGCUGAGGCAGACGUGGUCGAGGAUGUGCCCAUGGCUUUGAUUCUGAGACUCCUCAUCAUAUCUCUGACUCUUCUGAUUCUGAUGCCUCUAACCAUGACAUCUAUUAGAUCUAACAUAGUUAGUCUUUUAUGUUUAGGAUCUAGCUUAUGGCCUUUGUAUUGGUUGGCUGAUUGACUCAUUAAUGGUUGUAUUUUUUGUUAUCCAUGACUUUUGUAUGGUCUAUGUAUUUUGACUUGACACGUAUGUAUUGUGAUACAUA
rnacentral:lncRNA from 1 species